AUUACCUGAAUGUAUCACCAAGACACAAAGAGAUGAAAGAUACAGGAGACAGGUUAAAAGACACAGAGUACAGAAUGAAAAGGUCUAGAACACUCCUAAUCAGAGUUGGCAAAGGAGAGAGCACAGAGGACAGAGGAAAAAUAAUAUCUGGAUGGUUUCUGAGAACUUUCCAAUAUGAUAAAAUACGAUAAAAGAUGUGAAUUCAUACAUACAGGAAGUACAACAUAUUGAGCAGAAUAAAUAGAAUAAAUAAACAUCUAGAUACAUUGUGACAAAACUACAAAACACCAAUGAUAUCUUAAAAGCAGGGAGUAAAAAGAGAUCAUCUACACAACAAUGAGGAUUAGACUGAGGAGACUUCUUUACAACCAACAUGUAUCAGGCCUAUUAUAUGCCCACACUGUCCUAGGUACUUAGAACACAAGUAUGAACAAGCCAGGCCCAGCCCCUACCCUGUGGAGCUACAGAACCUCUAACAGGGAUCGCAGAUGUGCAGUAACAAUUAUAGUGUGAUGAGCGAUCCUGGUUGGAGGGCAAAAGAAUCGGCAAGAAAACAAUACCAUAGAACAGCAUUAUGAAGAUUUUCCUAUCCCACGUAGGAUCCACACAGGGACUGGCCCCCAAGCACAGAUCCUUGCUGGCAGCCUGAGAGUCACUCGGUCUA
rnacentral:lncRNA from 1 species